rnacentral:rRNA from 1 species
CAGUAGCCUCGGGAAUACGGAGGGUGCAAGCGUUAAUCGGAAUUACUGGGCGUAAAGCGCACGCAGGCGGUCUGACAAGUCAGAUGUGAAAUCCCCGGGCUUAACCUGGGAACUGCAUUUGAAACUGUCAGGCUGGAGUCUUGUAGAGGGGGGUGGAAUUCCAGGUGUAGCGGUGAAAUGCGUAGAGAUCUGGAGGAAUACCGGUGGCGAAGGCGGCCCCCUGGACAAAGACUGACGCUCAGGUGCGAAAGCGUGGGGAGCAAACAGGAUUAGAUACCCGCGUAGUCCCUGUCUCUUAUAC